GAUGAACGCUAGCUACAGGCUUAACACAUGCAAGUCGCGGGGCAGCAUUCACUUAGCUUGCUAAGUGAGAUGGCGACCGGCGCACGGGUGAGUAACGCGUAUCCAACCUGCCCUUGUCCACGGGAUAACCCGGUGAAAACCGGCCUAAUACCGUAUGAGGUCACAAGCGGACAUCCAACUGUGACGAAAGGUUUUGCGGACAAGGAUGGGGAUGCGUCCGAUUAGCUUGACGGCGGGGUAACGGCCCACCGUGGCUACGAUCGGUAGGGGUUCUGAGAGGAAGGUCCCCCCACAUUGGAACUGAGACACGGUCCAAACUCCUACGGGAGGCAGCAGUGAGGAAUAUUGGUCAAUGGACGGGAGUCUGAACCAGCCAAGUAGCGUGCAGGAUGACGGCCCUAUGGGUUGUAAACUGCUUUUAUAAGGGAAUAAAGUGAGUCUCGUGAGACUUUUUGCAUGUACCUUAUGAAUAAGGACCGGCUAAUUCCGUG
rnacentral:rRNA from 1 species